rnacentral:rRNA from 1 species
AGCGAACGCUGGCGGCAGGCCUAACACAUGCAAGUCGAACGAACCUUUCGGGGUUAGUGGCGGACGGGUGAGUAACACGUGGGAACGUGCCUUUAGGUUCGGAAUAACUCAGGGAAACUUGUGCUAAUACCGAAUGUGCCCUUCGGGGGAAAGAUUAAUCGCCCUUAGAGCGGCCCGCGUCUGAUUAGCUAGUUGGUUGAGGUAAUGGCUCACCAAGGCGACGAUCAGUAGCUGGUCUGAGAGGAUGAUCAGCCACAUUGGGACUGAGACACGGCCCAAACUCCUACGGGAGGCAGGAAUGGGGAAUCUAGCGCAAUGGGCGAAGGCCUGACGCAGCCAUGCCGCGUGAAUGAUGAAGGUCUUAGGAUUGUAAAAUUCUUUCACCGGGGGCGAUAAUGACGGUACCCGGAGAAGAAGCCCCGGCUAACUUCGUG